UACGUAGGGCGCAAGCGUUGCUCGGAAUUACUGGGCGUAAAGGGCGCGUAGGCGGGAUGGCAAGUCGGUCGUGAAAUCCCUCGGCUCAACCGAGGAACGUCGAUCGAUACUGCUGUUCUUGAGGAUUGCAGAGGAGACUGGAAUUCCCGGUGUAGCGGUGAAAUGUGUAGAGAUGUGGAGGAACACCGAUGGCGAAGGCAGCCCCCUGGGCUAACACUGACGCUCAGGCACGAAAGCGUGGGGAGCAAACAGG
rnacentral:rRNA from 1 species